rnacentral:rRNA from 1 species
GACGAACGCUGGCGGCGCGCUUAACACAUGCAAGUCGAGCGAAGCGGCGGACGGGUGAGCAACACGUGAGUAACCUGCCUUAGACAUUGGGAUAGCCUCGGGAAACCGGGAUUAAUACCAAAUGGUCUAAGAUGGACUCGCGUCCCAUUAGCUAGUUGGUGGGUAACGGCCCACCAAGGCGACGAUGGGUAGCCGGUCUGAGAGGGUGAACGGAGACAGUGGAGCUGGGAAACGGUCCGAACUCUGCGGGAGGAGGCAGUGGGGAAUAUUGCACAAUGGAGGGAACUCUGAUGAAGCGAGGCCGGGUGAACGAAGAAGGCUUACGAGUCGAAAAGUACUUUUAUAUGGGAAGCGGUACCAUAAGAAAAAGCCCCGGCUAACUACGUGCCAGCAGCCGCGGUAAUUC